UGUUGUUUUAGGCUCUUCCAAUUUCCAUUUCACAAUAUGAGUCUGUUGACACACUACCUGUCUGUCAACAAGAUUCCCUCCGGCUGGUGGGCUGGGGUUGAUCGACGGUCAUAGCACUGUUGAUCUAGAAAGUGGAGAGGAGAGAAAGCUCAGAUUAGUAAGGAAAAAUGCCUGAGCCAGAGGAAAGGGGGAACUGAAUCCUUUGAUGAAGGAAGUCUUGGAAGAAAGCAAUCCCGCUGAAUGGGUGUCAGCUGUAGCGUCUCUGAGACGGCUUAGGCUUGUCUGUAGACUCUGCCCUAAAGAGCAUGGAGUGCCAGCAGACAGAACAGUGAACCUGACUGGCCCAUGGGUCAGAUAGAAGCUAAGAUUUCUUAACCUAACAGAAAAGGAAAUGUCAAUUGGCUCUUAUAAUAGUUGUUAUGGAACCAACCAGAGCCCCAAGAAAAGAAUCUGUCUUGAAUCUGUCCUUUCAGCAUGCAUGCAGAACUAUAGUUGCUUUCUAGGUGUGUUUGUUACAGCGGCAAGACUCAGAAGUGGAGCAGCAAUGGUCUAUACUAUACUUGCCUGGCACAGACAUUCUGGAGUAUGACGGAGAUGGAGCGGAACCAGAAUGCCUAGACCUUUGGAGCCUGGUUUUCUUCGUAUUUACCCAGCAGGGUGUGGGAGCAGGUCCCAGGCCAUCUCAGAGGCUGACUAAUUGUCCCUGUUAAACAGACUUCCAGGGAUUUGGAAGCUGCAUGUCAUAGGAAUCUUCACACCUGGACCUGACUCUCCGUUCUGACAUUUACAACCUGUCCAAGACUGGACCAGUGACUCAGUCCCUUUGACCAUGAGUGGCCCGCUUGUUCGAGUAACCACCCUAACUAAAUAUUGCAAAGAGUAGGUGAACUAAUGGCAAAUUCUUAACAGGGCUUUUGUCACACAUGAUAAAAUGCCCUCGAGAUGCCCCUUCCUCACUAUCGACCUUUUUCUCCUCUGAGCCUGUGGCUGUCAUGUCACGCACAUUUCUCACUUGCUUUGAGGAAUUUUGGUAAAACUGUCAAAGGCUCACUCCUAAAGGCAGGUUGGUUCACUGGUCGUGAGACAAGUGCCUGUAAUCUCAGUGCUUAGGAGGUGGAGGGAGGGAGAUCAGGAGCCCAUGAUCAUCCUGGCUCCACAGAAAAUCCAAGGCUAGGCAGGGCUGCAUGAGAUUCUGCCUCAAAUAAAUGAAGCAAACAGCAGCAAAGACUUAGUAGUGAUGGUGUUUUCAGCAAUGAUAGGGUCGUUUUGAUGUGGAUAGAAUGAGUUCUUCCUAUAGCUCUAAAUACAUCGUUUAUGAUGUGCUCCUUAACAGAGAGAUGUUAAUUGACUACAAUCUAUGGCUAUAAGGAAAAUCCACAGAAAUCAUUUCAACAUGGCUGACUCUGAAGACCAGAGCAGGACUAGAAAGCUAAUCCCACAGAAAGCAGACUCUCGCUUUUUUCUCUGUCUGCUUCCACAUUGCCCAAAUGAUUAAAAGAAAUAAUAUUCAUCCUGAUUAACUUUUUAAUUUUUAUUUUUUUCAUUUGCUAUUAUUAUGGGGCCAGGGAACAGAGUCUUUCUAUUUAGCUCUGGUUGGACUGGUUCUCACCUUGUAGGUCAAAGUGGCCUUGAACUUGUAGCCCUUCUCUUGCCCCCACUUAUCAGGUGUUGAGAUUGUAAAUGUGUAUCACCUUGUUAGGGUCUCUGCCUGUGAGAAAUGUUUACGCUUCUUACACAGCUCCGUGGAAGGCAAACUGACAGGGCUAUGGACGACACAAAAUGGGUGUUAUCAGUAACAUUAAUGAACUGCAGCUACAUAUUGAUAUAAAAUGUGGCCACAAGAGCCAUUAACUUACCAAAGAGAAAACACAUGUUAGCAACUUACCACAUAUUAGGUAAAGAAAGCCUUGGCCAUUGUUCUAUAUCACAAGCACCAUGUCUGUUUUUUUCUUUAUUUAGUUUUCAACAUGUAAUCAGAUUUAGUAAAUUAUUGCCCAACUCAAUUGGCUUGAGACAACAUCAAGGACACAGAUCAAUCGUGUACCUUUUUAAUAUCAAUCACGUUAUCCAUGCCCAAUAAAUAAGAAAGGAGGACUAGGUGGUGGUGGGCCACGCCUUUAAUCCCAGCACUUGGGAGACAGAGGCAGGAGGACUUCUGUGAAUUCAAGGCCAACCUGGUCUACAGAGCUAGUUCUAGGAUAGCCAAGGCUAUACAGAGAUACACUGUUUCCAAAAACAAACAGACAAGAAAGUAAUGAAGGAGGAAGGAACCCGUCUCUUGAUGAGCUCUGGCACAAGAUAGUUCACCUGCUUGCAAAGAGUUACUUGUGUGUGUCCAAAAUGGCAAAGCUUUGCUCACGUGACAAUGUGUUUUCUAUGUGACAGUCAUCAUCAGAAGUUAACUAGCCCAUUAUCUGUUGAUUUAGGAUACAAUCCAAUACCCUCACUCACUCUUAGGCAGAGCUGAUAUCAUAUGUGAGCUGCUUACCAUAUCUAGACUUUGGGAUCUCUUCCAUUUCUCCUAGACCCCCUCGCUAUUAUCCUUGCAGAAUGGACCACCAAGAGGAGGAAGACUAAGACCCUAGAAAUAAGCAUUCUAUAGGAAUGCUGGAGCAAAGACCACGUUAACUAAGAAGAGAGACAAAUGUUACCCUUCCCUGUGGUUUUCCUGAGUCUGUUCUUCCUGUCUUCUCUACUAUGAUGGACCACAGAGUUCCCCCCUCUCGUCUUCUAUUGCAUUGCCUAGCAAACUCUCCAUACCUCCCUUGAAUUCUCUGUAGUCCUCCAAUUAACUCACAGUCAGUCAGGUGUUCCUAAACUUUGUGGUGGUUGAGGAAACAUGGAAAAGAUGGUGUCGAGGGCUGGAGAGAUGGCUCAGAGGUUAAGAGCACUGAUUGUUCUUCCAGAGGUCCUGAGUUCAGUUCCCAGCAACCACAUGGUGGUGGCUUACAACCAUCUGUAAUGAG